rnacentral:rRNA from 1 species
AUCCAGCCAUGCCGCGUGUGUGAAGAAGGCCUUAUGGUUGUAAAGCACUUUAAGCGAGGAGGAGGCUACUUUAGUUAAUACCUAGAGAUAGUGACGUUACUCGCAGAAGAAUCACCGGCUAACUCUGGGCCAGCAGCCGCGGUAAUACAGAGGGUGCAAGCGUUAAUCGGAUUUACUGGGCGUAAAGCGCGCGUAGGCGGCUAAUUAAGUCAAAUGUGAAAUCCCCGAGCUUAACUUGGGAAUUGCAUUCAAUACUGGUUAGCUAGAGUGUGGGAGAGGAUGGUAGAAUUCCAGGUGUAGCGGUGAAAUGCGUAAAGAUCUGGAGGAAUACCGAUGGCGAAGGCAGCCAUCUGGCCUAACACUGACGCUGAGGUGCGAAAGCCUGGGGAGCAAACAGGAUUAGAUACCCUGG